rnacentral:rRNA from 1 species
UUUGGGACCUGAGCUAAGCGGCGGGCCCGUUGAGUAUGCUUAGGGAUCUGCCUAUUAGUGGGGGACCACAUUCCGAAGGGAUGCUAAUACCGCAUACGCCCUACGGGGAAAGCAGGGGAUCUUCGGACCUUGCGCUAAUAGAUGAACCUAAGUCAAAUUAACUAGUUGGGGGGGGUAAAGGGCUACCAAGGGCACGAUCUUGUAGCGGGUCUGAAAGGAUGAUCCCGCCACACUGGGACUGAAACACGGCCCAAACUCCUACGGGGAGGCAGCAGUGGGGAAAUAUUUGGACAAUGGGCGAAAGCCUGAUCCAGCCAUGCCGCGUGUGUGAAGAAAGGCCUUUUGGGUUGUAAAGCACUUUAAGCGAAGGAGGAGGCUACUUUGGAUUAAUACCUCUAGGGAUAAGUGGACGUUACUCGCAGAAAUAAGCACCGGCUAACUCUGUUGCCAGCAGCCCCCGGUAAUACAGAGGGGUGCGAGCGUUAAUCCGGAUUUACUGGGCGUAAAGCGUGCGUAGGCGGCUUUUUAAGUCGGGAUGUGAAAUCCCUGGAGCUUAACCUUAGGAAUUGCAUUCCAUACUGGGAAAGCUAGAAGUAUUGGGAGAGGAUGGGUAGAAAUUCCAGGGUGUAGCGGUGAAAAUGCGUAGAGAUCUGGGAAGGAAUACCGAUGGGCGAAGGCAGCCAUCUGGCCCUAAUACUGACGCUGAGGUACCGAAAGGCAUGGGGAGCAAACAGGAUUAGAUACCCUGGUAGUCCAUGCCGUAAACGAUGUCUACUAGCCGUUGGGGCCUUUGAGGCUUUAGUGGCGCAGCUAACGCGAUAAGUAGACCGCCUGGGGAGUACGGUCGCAAGACUAAAACUCAAAUGAAUUGACGGGGGCCCGCACAAGCGGUGGAGCAUGUGGUUUAAUUCGAUGCAACGCGAAGAACCUUACCUGGUCUUGACAUAGUAAGAACUUUCCAGAGAUGGAUUGGUGCCUUCGGGAACUUACAUACAGGUGCUGCAUGGCUGUCGUCAGCUCGUGUCGUGAGAUGUUGGGUUAAGUCCCGCAACGAGCGCAACCCUUUUCCUUAUUUGCCAGCGGGUUAAGCCGGGAACUUUAAGGAUACUGCCAGUGACAAACUGGAGGAAGGCGGGGACGACGUCAAGUCAUCAUGGCCCUUACGACCAGGGCUACACACGUGCUACAAUGGUCGUUACAAAGGGUUGCUACCUAGCGAUAGGAUGCUAAUCUCAAAAAGCCGAUCGUAGUCCGGAUUGGAGUCUGCAACUCGACUCCAUGAAGUCGGAAUCGCUAGUAAUCGCGGAUCAGAAUGCCGCGGUGAAUACGUUCCCGGCCUUUGUACACACCGCCCGUCACACCAUGGAUGUGUGCACCGAGAAGUAGAUAGUCUAGCGCAACGA